AUUGAACGCUGGCGGCAGGCCUAACACACGCAAGUCGAGCGGAUGAGUGGAGCUUGCUCCAUGAUUCAGCGGCGGACGGGUGAGUAAUGCCUAGGAAUCUGCCUGGUAGUGGGGGACAACGUUUCGAAAGGAACGCUAAUACCGCAUACGUCCUACGGGAGAAAGUGGGGGAUCUUCGGACCUCACGCUAUCAGAUGAGCCUAGGUCGGAUUAGCUAGGUGGUGAGGUAAAGGCUCACCAAGGCGACGAUCUGUAACUGGUCUGAGAGGACGAUCAGUCACACUGGAACUGAGACACGGUCCAGACUCCUACGGGAGGCAGCAGUGGGGAAUAUUGGACAAUGGGCGAAAGCCUGAUCCAGCCAUGCCGCGUGUGUGAAGAAGGUCUUCGGAUUGUAAAGCACUUUAAGUUGGGAGGAAGGGCAGUAAGUUAAUACCUUGCUGUUUUGACGUUACCAACAGAAUAAGCACCGGCUAACUUCGUGCCAGCCGCCGCGGUAACAC
rnacentral:rRNA from 1 species